rnacentral:rRNA from 1 species
AGCGAACGCUGGCGGCAGGCUUAACACAUGCAAGUCGAGCGGGCAUCCUUGUGGUGUCAGCGGCAGACGGGUGAGUAACGCGUGGGAACGUGCCCUUCGGUUCGGAAUAACUCAGGGAAACUUGAGCUAAUACCGGAUACGUGCUAGAGCAGAAAGGUUUAUCUGCCGAAGGAUCGGCCCGCGUCUGAUUAGCUAGUUGGUGAGGUUAUGGCUCACCAAGGCGACGAUCAGUAGCUGGUCUGAGAGGAUGAUCAGCCACACUGGGACUGAGACACGGCCCAGACUCAUACGGGAGGCAGCAGUGGGGAAUAUUGGACAAUGGGGGCAACCCUGAUCCAGCCAUGCCGCGUGAGUGAUGACGGCCUUAGGGUUGUAAAGCUCUUUUCUCCGGGACGAUAAUGACGGUACCGGAGGAAUAAGCCCCGGCUAACUUCGUG